CCUUCCUUCCUUCCUUCCUUCCUUCCUUCCUUCCUUCCUUCCUUCCUUCCUUCCUUUCUUUCUUUCUUUCUUUUCUUUCUCUUUCUUCUUUUCCCUCUCUGGCCCAGGCUGCAAUCUACUCGGCUUGCGGCUGCCCGCGCCGCGGACUGCCUGGGUCUGCCGCCGCGCGCCACCGCUGCCUGCCUUUUCUCCUUUCGCGGCAGGCACGCGUUCGCCAUCUUGGCCACGCUCGUCGCCAGCUCCUCACGCCGAGUGCUCUGCCCGCCUGAGCUUCCCGAGCUACUGGAACUACAGACGGAGUCUCGCUCACCCAGUGCUCGGUGUUGCCCAGGCUGGAGUGCGGUGGCGUGGUCUGGCCUCGCGGCAGCCUCCGCCCCCCAGCCGCCUGCCUUGGCCUACCAGGGUGCUGGGAUUGCAGCCCCUGCCCGGCCGCCGCCCCGUCUGGGAGGUGGGGAGCAACUCUGCCCGGCCGCCCCGUCUGGGAAGUGAGGAGCGCCUCUGCCCGGCCACCCACCGUCUGGGAAGUGAGGAGCGCCUCUGCCCGGCCACUCACAGUCUGGGAAGUGAGGAGCGCCUCUGCCCGGCCACCCACCGUCUGGGAAGUAAGGAGCGCCUCUGCCCCGCCACCCACCGUCUGGGAAGUGAGGAGCGCCUCUGCCCGGCCACCCACCGUCUGGGAAGUGAGGAGAGCCUCUGCCCGGCCGCCCCGUCUGGGAAGUGAGGAGCGCCUCUGCCCGGCCACCCAUCGUCUGGGAAGUGAGGAGCGCCUCUGCCCGGCCACCCAUCGUCUGGGAAGUGAGGAGUGCCUCUGCCCGGCCACCCAUCGUCUGGGAAGUGAGGAGCGCCUCUGCCCCGCCACCCACCGUCUGGGAAGUGAGGAGCGCCUCUGCCCGGCCACCCACCGUCUGGGAAGUGAGGAGCGCCUCUGCCCGGCCGCCCCGUCUGGGAAGUGAGGAGCGCCUCUGCCCGGCCGCCCCGUCUGGGAGGUGAGGAGUGCCUCUGCCCGGCCACCCAUCGUCUGGGAAGUGAGGAGCGCCUCUGCCCGGCCACCCCGUCUGGGAAGUGAGGAGCGCCUCUGCCCGGCCGCCCCGUCUGGGAGGUGAGGAGCGCCUCUGCCCGGCCACCCAUCGUCUGGGAGGUGAGGAGCGCCUCUGCCCGGCCGCCCCGUCCGGGAAGAAGUGAGGAGCGCCUCUGCCCGGCCGCCCCGUCCGGGAAGAAGUGAGGAGCGCCUCUGCCCGGCCGCCCCGUCUGGGAGGUGAGGAGCGCCUCUGCCCGGCCACCCAUCGUCUGGGAAGUGAGGAGCGCCUCUGCCCGGCCGCGCCGUCCGGGAAGAAGUGAGGAGCGCCUCUGCCCGGCCGCCCCGUCUGGGAAGUGAGGAGCGCCUCUGCCCGGCCGCCCCGUCUGGGAAGUGAGGAGCGCCUCUGCCCGGCCGCCCCGUCCGGGAAGAAGUGAGGAGCGCCUCUGCCCGGCCGCCCCGUCUGGGAAGUGAGGAGCGCCUCUGCCCGGCCGCCCCGUCUGGGAGGUGAGGAGCGCCUCUGCCCGGCCACCCAUCGUCUGGGAAGUGAGGAGCGCCUCUGCCCGGCCGCCCCGUCCGGGAAGAAGUGAGGAGCGCCUCUGCCCGGCCGCCCCGUCUGAGAAGUGAGGAGCGCCUCUGCCCGGCCGCCCCGUCUGGGAAGAAAUGAGGAGCGCCUCUGCCCGGGCGCCCCGUCCGGGAAGAAGUGAGGAGCGCCUCUGCCCGGCCGCCCCAUCUGGGAAGUGAGGAGCGCCUCUGCCCGGCCACCCAUCGUCUGGGAAGUGAGGAGCGCCUCUGCCCGGCCACCCACCGUCUGGGAAGUGAGGAGCGCCUCUGCCCGGCCGCCCCGUCUGGGAAGUGAGGAGCGCCUCUGCCCGGCCACCAACCGUCUGGGAAGUGAGGAGUGCCUCUGCCCGGCCACCCAUCGUCUGGGAAGUGAGCAGCGCCUCUGCCCGGCUGCCCCGUCCGGGAAGAAGUGAGGAGCGCCUCUGCCCGGCCGCCCCGUCAGGGAAGAACUGAGGAGCGCCUCUGCCCGGCCGCCCCGUCAGGGAAGAACUGAGGAGCGCCUCUGCCCGGCCGCCCCGUCCGGGAAGAAGUGAGGAGUGCCUCUGCCCGGCCGCCCCGUCCGGGAAGAAGUGGGGAGCGCCUCUGCCCGGGCGCCCCGUCCGGGAAGAAGUGGGGAGCGCCUCUGCCCGGCCGCCCCGUCCGGGAAGAAGUGGGGAGCGCCUCUGCCCGGGCGCCCCGUCCGGGAAGAAGUGGGGAGCGCCUCUGCCCGGCCGCCCCGUCCGGGAAGAAGUGAGGAGCGCCUCUGCCCGGCCGCCCCGUCCGGGAAGAAGUGAGGAGCGCCUCUGCCCGGCCACCCAUCGUCUGGGAGGUGAGGAGCGCCUCUGCCCAGCCACCCAUCAUCUGGGAAGUGAGGAGCGCCUCUGCCCGGCUGCCCCAUCUGGGAAGUGAGGAGUGCCUCUGCCCGGCCACCCAUUGUCUGGGAGGUGAGGAGCGCCUCUGCCCGGCCACCCAUCGUCUGGGAAGUGAGGAGCGCCUCUGCCCGGCCACCCAUCGUCUGGGAAGUGAGGAGCGCCUCUGCCCGGCCACCUAUCGUCUGGGAAGAAGUGAGGAGCGUCUCUGCCUGGCCGCUCCGUCUGGGAAGUGAGGAGCUCCUCUGCCCGGCCGCCCCGUGUCUGGGUAGAAGUGAGGAGCUCUUCUGCCUGGCCGCUCCUUCUGGGAGGUCUACCACGGAGGCCAGAAGCAAUGUGGGGGCUGGACGUGGUGGCUCACGCCUGUGGUCCCGGCACUCUGGGGGGCGAGGCGGGUUGAUCACUUCGGGCUAGGAGUUCGAGACCAGUCUGGCCAACUUGGCGAAACAUGAAGAAUACAACAGACAAACCAACCAACCAACUCAGUGACAACAAAACAGGUAGACAACUUUCACCUAUGGUCCCUGUAGAGAUGCUUCAAGAACCGAGCCUUCCCCGGUAAAUCGGCUUAUCCAUGACACUUGGUGAUGCCAUCUAGAAGUCACACCUCACUUUUAGAAAAGUAAAAUUUUUUAAAAAAAGUAAGUAAAAAGUACUACAUCUCCUUGUCUUAACUCCCACUGCUCUUUCUUAGCUGAGUUUCAAAACCCCACUGUAACCUUGGUCUUCCUUUUUUUUAUAUAGUUUCUCCCUUAUCCAAGCAAUUUUAUACUUUGCUGCAAGUCAUCUUUCUUGAUGCUCUUACCAGCACACCGGGUUCAAGCUACUCAACCUCAAAUUCCAAGUUUCCUACCAUAUAGUAGCCAUGUACCUUCCCAAACGUGUCUUACUCUAUCUCUACUUCACACUUUAUUAAGCUGCUUAUAUAUUUCCUUACUAAAUUGUCAGCCUUUUGCAUCAGGGAGGGAGUCUUAACAGUUUUUUCUGUUCCUGAAGUACCAAUAUUUAAUUUAAUGCUAUUAUGAUACCAAAAUAGUCUUUUUAUUUUAAAGCACAUUCUCAUUUAACCUCUAUUAACCAGGCUUCUUAAUCCAUCUGAGUCACUCAAUGUGCUGGAAAGUAAUUUAACUGCAGGCAAUUUAUUUAGUUAUUCUGUGAGAUUUGUGCACAUCUUUCAGGUUAAAAAGGACAAAAUAAUAAGCACUGAGGGAAUAUAUGGAUGUGCAAUAUAUACAGAGAACUUUAAAUGAGUACCAGUAUUACCUACAUUCAACACCAUGGUUUCAGAAAGAGUGAAGGUAAGUUUGGAAAAUAGGUCUUUCUUCAAUGCUUUUACUUUUUUGUUUUUUACUGCAGUGUUUCUAUUCCUUACUUUUUCAAUUAUGUUAAUAAAACACUAUAAUCACCGUUUCUCUGGUGCUCAGGGGCAAGUCUCUGCACCACUUUGACCACUAGGCGGCUCUCUUGUUCCAUGUUCUAGUAACUGGAGGCCUCUUCAUUCUUUUCGAAGGAUAGGUAUCUCUCUUGUUGAAUUUGGUUCAUAACAUUUUUUUUCUUUUUCUUUCUCUUUCUUUUUCUUUUCUUUUCUUUUUUUUUUUUUUGAGACAGAGUCUAGCUCUGUCGCCCAGGCUGGAGUGCAGUGGCACCAUCUCGGCUCACUGCAACCUCUCUGCCUCCCAGUGGCUCAAGCAAUUCUGCCUCAGUCUCCCGAGUAGCUGGGACUACAGGUGUGUGCCACCACACCUGGCUAAUUUUUGUAUUUGUAUUUUUUUUUUUUCAUUUUUCAAGACUGUCUUGCUCUGUUGCCCAGGCUGGAGUGCAGUGGCAUGAUCUCAGCUCACUGCAACCUCUGCCUCCCAAGUUCAAGUAAUUUUCGUGCCUCAGCCUUCCAAGUAGCUUGGGUUACAGGCGUGCACCACCAUGCCCAGCUAAUUUUUGUAUUUUUAGUAGAGAUGGGGUUUCACCAUGUUGGCCAGGCUGGUCUCAGACUUGACCUCAGGUGAUCCGCCCGCCUCAGCCUCCCAAAGUACUGGGAUUACAGGCGUGAGCCACCAUGCCCAGUCAACAUCUUCUUAUUGAUUAUGAAUACUUAGUAGGACAGGCUCUGUAAACACCAUUUAAAGAGUCCAAUGCUUUCCAUGGGCUGAGAAGGUUUGGGCUUGGCAGAAAGCCUACCGGUAACUCCUCUCCAGGACAAUGCAAAUACCAAAGCCAGGCCUGAAUAAGCAUGACUCUGCUACCUUAUGACUUCACUUUCGUCCCACAGUAAAAUAUAAUUUAUAAUUUCUGAGACAUCAGAAGAGGUGUCUGUAUAGUCAUUCAAACAUUUUCAUGGAACCCUAGCAUUUGCCAGGAUUCUAUUAAAGUUUAGCAGCGUUCCAUGAAAGCCUUUUAUGUGCAAAGUUAGGCUUUAGGGUUUAAAAAAAACGUUAUUGACUUUGGCUUUCUUUUUGGUGUUUUGUUUUUUGGAGCGGUCAGGGUCUCAUUCUGUCACUCAGGCUAGAGUGCAGUGGUGUGAUCACAGCUCACUGCAGCCUUGACCUCCUGGGCUCAAGUGAUCCUUCUGCCUCAUCCUCCCCAGUAGCUGGGACUACAGGUGCAUGCCACUGAAAGUUGUGAAGCCAGCUGGGCUUCUGGGUCGGGUGGGGACUUGGAGAACUUUUGUGUCUAACUAAAGGAUUGUAAAUGCACCAAUCACUACUCUGUAAAAACACACCAAUCAGCACGCUCUAAAAUGGACCAAUCAACACUCUGUAAAAUGAACCAGUCAGCACUCUGUAAAAUAGACCAAUCAGGGCUCUGUAAAAUGGACCAAUCAGCACUCUGUAAAAUGGACCAAUCAGCAGGAUGUGGGCAGGGCCAAAUAAGGGAAUAAAAGCUGGCCACCUGCACCAGCAGCGGCAACCCACUCCGGUGUCCUUCCAGUGUGUGGAGUCUCUCUUAUUUUGGUCGUGGGAAUAAAUCGUGCUGCUGCUCACUCUUUGGGUCCGCAUUACCUUUAUGAGCUGUAAUACUCACUGCGAGAGUCUGCGGCUCCAUGCCUGCAGUCAGUGAGACCACAAACCCACUGGAAGGAGCAAACAACUCCUGAGGCACCGCCUUUAGGAGCUGCAACACCCACUGCUAAGGUCUGCGGCUUCACUCCUGAAGUCAGUGAGAUCACGAACCCACCAGAAGGAAAAAACUCUGGACACAUCUGAACACCUGAAGGAACAAACUCUGGACACACCAUCUGUAAGAGCUGUGACACUCACCACGAGGAUCUGCGGCUUCAUUCUUGAAGUCAGCAAGACCAAGAACCCACCAGAAGGAACCAAUUCCGGACACACCACCACACCCAUCUUAUUAUUGUUAUUAUUUGAUAGAGUUGGGGGUCCCACUAUGUUGCCCAAGCUGUUCUCAAACUCCUGGGCUCAAGUGAUCCUCCCACCUCAUCCUCCCAAAGUGCUGGGAUUACAGGAUCAGUGAGCCACCAUGCUCAGACAACUCUGGCUUUCUUGAUAUUUAAUUUUUUAAAAAGGUUUAGUGAGUACAAGUGCUAUUUUGCUAAUGAAUAUAUUGCAUAGUGGUGAAGACUGGGCUUUUAAUGUACCCAUUGCCCAAAUAGUGUACAUUAUACCUAUAAAGUAAUUAUUCAUCAAUUACCCUCUUCCCACCCAAUGUCUAUUAUUCCGCUUUCUGUGUCCGUGUGUACACAUUAUUUAGCUUCUACCCAGAAGUGAGAGCAUGCUGUUUCUGACUUUCUGUCUCUGAGUUAUUUCACCUAAGAUAAUGACCUCUAGUUGCAUCCAUGUUCUUACAAAAGAUAAGAUUUCAUUUUUAUUUAUGGCUGAGUAGUAGUCCAUGGAUUCCAUCUUUGUUAUUGUGAAUAGUGCUGAGAUAAACAUAUAAGUGAAGAUAUCUAUUGCUAUAAUUUAUUUUCUUUUAGGUAGAUACCAAGUAGUGAGAUUGUUGGGUUGAAUGGUAGUUCUAUUUUUAGUUCUUUGAGAAGUCUCCAUAUUGUUUUCCAUAGAAGUUGUACUAAUAUACAUUUCCACCAACAGCAUAUAAGUGUUCCUAUUCUC